rnacentral:rRNA from 1 species
UACGAAGGGUGCAAGCGUUACUCGGAAUUACUGGGCGUAAAGCGUGCGUAGGCGGUUUGUUAAGUCUGUCGUGAAAGCCCUGGGCUCAACCUGGGAAUUGCGAUGGAUACUGGCAAGCUAGAGUACGGUAGAGGAUGGUGGAAUUCCCGGUGUAGCGGUGAAAUGCGUAGAGAUCGGGAGGAACACCCGUGGCGAAGGCGGCCAUCUGGACCAGUACUGACGCUGA